AUAAAUAUGUGUCAAGAUCAGUGGCAGUGCUAAGUAUUUUUCUCUCAAAUCACAAAUUUAAUUUUCACCAAUUCGUUUACCGAAAAUAUCUCGAGGGGGUGUGGCUACCGCGCCUUGUCCGUUAACCAAAACUAGUGGGUCACCAACCAGUUUCCCCGGGAGGUCCUCGUCGAAACUUGUCAAACGUCCGCAGACUAAAUUACUUUUUACCUCUAUAUAUAUUUAUAUAUAUAUGAAUAAUGGAAUAUGCUUUAUAAAUAACGAUACAGGUGUAUAAGAAGAUAAUUAAAAUGUUAACCGGAA